rnacentral:rRNA from 1 species
UACGUGGGGAGCAAGCGUUGUUCGGAUUUACUGGGCGUAAAGGGCGCGUAGGCGGCCUCUGCAAGUCGACUGUGAAAUCUCCGGGCUUAACCCGGAACGGUCAGCCGAUACUGCAGGGCUAGAGUGCAGAAGGGGCAACUGGAAUUCUCGGUGGUAGCGGUGAAAUGCGUAGAUAUCGAGAGGAACACCUGCGGCGAAGGCGGGGUGCUGGGCUGACACUGACGCUGAGGCGCGAAAGCUAGGGGAGCGAACGGGG